GCUGGCGGCGUGCUUAACACAUGCAAGUCGAACGAGAAAUCUUUAGCUUGCUAGAGAAAGUAAAGUGGCGCACGGGUGAGUAACGCGUGGGUAAUCUGCCUCCGAAUCGGGGAUAACAUUGCGAAAGCGAUGCUAAUACCGGAUAAAAUCUGGUUGGCUUCGGUGAACCGGAUCAAAGGUGGUCUCUUUAUAAAAGCUACCGUUUGGAGAUGAGCUCGCGUACCAUUAGCUAGUUGGUGAGGUAAAGGCUCACCAAGGCGACGAUGGUUAGCUGGUCUGAGAGGAUGAUCAGCCACACCGGAACUGGAACACGGUCCGGACUCCUACGGGAGGCAGCAGUGAGGAAUUUUGCGCAAUGGGGGAAACCCUGACGCAGCAACGCCGCGUGAGUGAUGAAGGCUUUCGGGUCGUAAAGCUCUGUCAGGUGGGAAGAACCCACCAAGUGUUAAGACCACUUGGUGCUGACGGUACCACCGAAGGAAGCACCGGCUAACUCCGUGCCAGCAGCCGCGGUAAUACGGGGGGUGCGAGCGUUAUUCGGAAUCAUUGGGCGUAAAGGGCGCGCAGGCGGUUAUGUAAGUCAGAUGUGAAAUCCCGGGGCUUAACCCCGGAAGUGCAUAUGAAACUAUGAGACUUGAGUAUGGG
rnacentral:rRNA from 1 species